rnacentral:rRNA from 1 species
GACGAACGCUGGCGGCGUGCCUAAUACAUGCAAGUCGAGCGAACGGACGAGAAGUUUGCUUCUUUGAUGUUAGCCGCGGACGGGUGAGUAACACGUGGAUAACCUACUUAUAAGACGGGGAUAACUUCGGGAAACCGUAGCUAAUACCGGAUAAUAUUUUGAACCGCAUGGUUCAAAAGUGAAAGACGGCCUUGCUGUCACUUAUAGAUGGUUCCGCGCUGCAUUAGCUAGUUGGUAAGGUAACGGCUUACCAAGGCAACGAUGCAUAGCCGACCUGAGAGGGUGAUCGGCCACACUGGAACUGAGACACGGUCCAGACUCCUACGGGAGGCAGCAGUAGGGAAUCUUCCGCAAUGGGCGAAAGCCUGACGGAGCAACGCCGCGUGAGUGAUGAAGGUCUUCGGAUCGUAAAACUCUGUUAUUAGGGAAGAACAUAUGUGUAAGUAACUGUGCACAUCUUGACGGUACCUAAUCAGAAAGCCACGGCUAACUACGUG